rnacentral:rRNA from 1 species
AGCCAUAUCACGUUUAAACACAGGUUCUCGUCCGAAGUUAAGCAACAUCGUGUCUUUUCAGUACCUAGAUGGGUGACCACAUGGGAAUAUCAGGUGCUGUAAG